rnacentral:rRNA from 1 species
UAGGGAAUCUUCCACAAUGGACGCAAGUCUGAUGGAGCAACGCCGCGUGAGUGAAGAAGGUUUUCGGACGUAAAGCUCUGUUGUUGGUGAAGAAGGAUAGAGGCAGUAACUGGCCUUUAUUUGACGGUAAUCAACCAGAAAGUCACGGCUAACUACGUGCCAGCAGCCGCGGUAAUACGUAGGUGGCAAGCGUUGUCCGGAUUUAUUGGGCGUAAAGCGAGCGCAGGCGGAAGAAUAAGUCUGAUGUGAAAGCCCUCGGCUUAACCGAGGAAUUGCAUCGGAAACUGUUUUUCUUGAGUGCAGAAGAGGAGAGUGGAACUCCAUGUGUAGCGGUGGAAUGCGUAGAUAUAUGGAAGAACACCAGUGGCGAAGGCGGCUCUCUGGUCUGCAACUGACGCUGAGGCUCGAAAAGCAUGGGUAGCGAACAGGAUUAGAUACCCUGGUAGUCCAUGCCGUAAACGAUGAGUGCUAAGUGUUGGGAGGCUUCCGCCUCUCAGUGCUGCAGCUAACGCAUUAAGCACUCCGCCUGGGGGAGUACGACCGCAAAGGUUGAAAC